rnacentral:rRNA from 1 species
GUGGUGAGUAACACGUGGAUAACCUACCUAUAAGACUGGGAUAACUUCGGGAAACCGGAGCUAAUACCGGAUAAUAUAUUGAACCGCAUGGUUCAAUAGUGAAAGACGGUUUUGCUGUCACUUAUAGAUGGAUCCGCGCCGCAUUAGCUAGUUGGUAAGGUAACGGCUUACCAAGGCAACGAUGCGUAGCCGACCUGAGAGGGUGAUCGGCCACACUGGAACUGAGACACGGUCCAG